rnacentral:rRNA from 1 species
AUUGAACGCUGGCGGCAGGCCUAACACAUGCAAGUCGAGCGAGCGGCGGACGGGUGAGUAAUGUAUGGGUAACUGCCCGCUGGAGGGGGAUAACUACUGGAAACGGUAGGUAAUAACCCCUCCUAUCUGACGGUCCCAGAUGGGAUGAGUUAGUGGGUGGGGUAACGGCUCACCAAGGCGACGAUCCUUAGCUGGUUUGAGAGGAUGACCGGCAAAACUGGAACUGAGACACGGCCCAGACCCCUAGGGGAGGCAGCAGUGGGGAAUAUUGCACAAUGGGCGCAAGCCUGAUGCAGACAUGCGGCGUGUGUGAAGAAGGCCUUCGGGUUGUAAAGUACUUUCAGAGGGGAGGCGGUACCUAAAGAAGAAGCACCGGCUAACUCCGUGCCAGCCGCCGCGGUAAUUC